rnacentral:rRNA from 1 species
AACGAACGCUGGCGGCAGGCUUAACACAUGCAAGUCGAGCGCCCCGCAAGGGGAGCGGCAGACGGGUGAGUAACGCGUGGGAAUCUACCAAUCUCUACGGAAUAACGCAUGGAAACGUGUGCUAAUACCGUAUACGUCCUUCGGGAGAAAGAUUUAUCGGAGAUGGAUGAGCCCGCGUUGGAUUAGCUAGUUGGUGGGGUAAAGGCCUACCAAGGCGACGAUCCAUAGCUGGUCUGAGAGGAUGAUCAGCCACACUGGGACUGAGACACGGCCCAGACUCCUACGGGAGGCAGCAGUGGGGAAUAUUGGACAAUGGGCGCAAGCCUGAUCCAGCCAUGCCGCGUGAGUGAUGAAGGCCCUAGGGUUGUAAAGCUCUUUCACCGGUGAAGAUAAUGACGGUAACCGGAGAAGAAGCCCCGGCUAACUUCGUGCCAGCAGCCUCCGUAACAC